GCCUGUAAUCGUUGUCCUAGACAGAAAAAACUCAAGUACCAUAUUUAGAAGUUCAAAGUCUGAUUCAGUAAACUGAUAGGAUGCUUGUUUACACUACAAUAGGCGUUUUUUCAAAGAAAUUUAAUAAACAAAUAAAGCAUGUUACAACGUUUUAGCUACCGGUAAGUAAUUUAUUUUGGGUUCUAUUUCAUAUGGACCAAUAUGCCUGGCAUGUAAUGGAUGUCUGUAAUAUAAUCAAAGUGCUAGAUAGCACCUCUGGAAAGUUUGCAACAGUAGCUGUGUAUUAUUCCAAAAAAGUUAUAGACAUGUAUUAUUUCAAAUAUGUAUUUCAUCACAGCUUUGUCUAAACCAUUGUCUUAUCAGUAAUUAUCAAAAAUCACUUUUUUAC
rnacentral:lncRNA from 1 species